rnacentral:misc_RNA from 1 species
UUUCCGUAGGUGAACCUGCGGAAGGAUCAUUACAUUCAGUAGCUUGCUACUGUUAGGGGGGUCCAUUAGUCUGUAUAUUAUCACUACUGAUGAGCAGCACGACUUCCUGUCUAUACCCUUGUCUUUUGCGCACUCAUGUUUCCUCGGCGGGCUUGCCUGCCGGUUGGACAUUAUCAAACCUUUUUGUAGUUGCAAUCAGCGUCAGAAACAAAACAAUAAUUACAACUUUCAACAACGGAUCUCUUGGUUCUGGCAUCGAUGAAGAACGCAGC